rnacentral:tRNA from 1 species
GCAUCCAUAGCUCAGUCGGUAGAGCAGUUGCCUCUUAAGCAAACGGUCGUAGGUUCGAAUCCUACUGGGUGCA